AACGCACAUUGCGCCCGCGAGUAUUCUCGCGGGCAUGCCUGUCCGAGCGUUGUUAAGCCCACUCGAGCUCUGCUCGGCGUUGGGGCGCGCGGGUCCUAGCGACCCGCGGCCCCGAAGGCUAGCGGCGGCGGCCCUGGGAGCCCUCUGCGUAGUGAAACCCUCGCAUCGGAAGCCCUCGGCCCGCCAGCCUCGACCACCGAGCCCUAGGCUCGUCUACGGUCAACCUCGGAUCAGGUAGGGAUACCCGCUGAACUUAA
rnacentral:misc_RNA from 1 species